UCCGUAGGUGAACCUGCGGAAGGAUCAUUAAUGAUUAACUGUCUGUCGAGCUUGCUCACAGACUUAUCAUAUCCAUAACACCUGUGCACUUGUCGGAUGGCUUAGUGAAGACCGCAAGGUUGGAUCUAUCCAUCUACUUUACAUAACAAUUUAGUAACAAAUGUAGUCUUAUUAUAACAUAAUAAAACUUUCAACAACGGAUCUCUUGGCUCUCGCAUCGAUGAAGAACGCAGCGAAAUGCGAUAAGUAAUGUGAAUUGCAGAAUUCAGUGAAUCAUCGAAUCUUUGAACGCACCUUGCGCUCCCUGGUAUUCCGGGGAGCAUGCCUGUUUGAGUGUCAUGAAAACCCUCAACCUUAGAUUGGUUAACACCUUUCUUUGGCUUGGAUUUGGACGUUUGCCGAUGAUAAGUCGGCUCGUCUUAAAAGUAAUAGCUGGAUCUGUCUCGCGACAUGGUUUGACUUGGCGUAAUAAGUAUUUCGCUAAGGACAUCUUCGGAUGGCCGCGUUGCAAGACUAAAGACCGCUUUCUAAUCCAUUGAUCUUCGGAUUAAUAUUCUUGACAUCUGGCCUCAAAUCAGGUAGGACUA
rnacentral:rRNA from 1 species